rnacentral:rRNA from 1 species
AUGAGGACUUGCAGCCUCCUUCUCAUCAUUGUCGCCGUUGUUGUCGUGGCUUACCCCUUCAGAACGUCCGCCGAGGAAGAGUGGUAUCCGAUUGGAGACCCUGACAAUGAACCACACGUCCAAGAGCUCGGUGGGUGGGCAAUGGCGGAGCACAUCAAGCAGGCGCACGAUGGGAUCAAGUUCGUCAAGGUGGUGAGCGGCGAGGUGGCAAAUGUCGCUGGCCUGAAAUAUCGCCUCAACAUCAAAGCAUUGAACAAGAACGGACAACCUGGUGCAUACAAAGCGAUUUUACUCGAGGAGGUCAGGGAGAACGAGCACACCCUCAUCUCCUUCGGACCCGCGAACUAA